rfam:Bacillus vireti LMG 21834 contig55, whole genome shotgun sequence.
UGUAUCUACUAGGGGUGCCCUGAAUUCAGGCUGAGAGAAAACGUUAUGUUUUUAACCCUUUGGACCUGAUCUGGGUAAUACCAGCGUAGGAAAGUAGUUAAGUGAAGUU